AAAACUUCAAAAUGUUUAUAAACAAAACGAUAGAAACUUGAGUGAGUGCGUUGGUUUUAUGGUUAUGUGUUUGUUUAGUGUACUAUAGUACCAGAAUGCGAACUCUGCGACUUGUGCAUGUGGGUAGACUGCGCAUACCACCCGUGUCACAUGAAUUCGGUAUACUAACAUUCGGAACCUGCCUAAGAGAUUUGGUGAUUCGAUGUUCGUCUGCAAGUACCAAAAGACUUUAUCAUUUUACACAUUCGCAACAUAAUUUAAAUUAUGAAAAAAUCAUCAGAAACGAUAAUAGAGAGAAUUUUGUUUUAGGCGAAAUUAGGUCUAAAAUUAUAUACAAUUCUGUUCUGCACCGAUUAGAAUGGGAAAAUAGAUUGGCAGGCUUCAAGAAGAAAAGAAAAACGUUGAAUCGCGGUGAGUCAUAUCACUGCAGCCCUGUCGCAUUAAAGUACGUAGAAGACAUUGCAGAUAGCGAGACGGAAGAACAGCCAGAAGCGGUGUUCAAAGAUGAAAAAGUGGACUUUCCGUACAGGACUUACAGUGAAUUUGGCAGUAGUAGUCUCCAUUCUUCUCGGAAUAAUUCUGGUGAAAAUGGUACUGGAAAAAUAAUGGUGUCUGAGUUUACUACAGAACCUGUUCCAAAAGAACAGACCAGUGAGCAUUAUAUAAAAAGCUGGAUGAAUGAUUAUGAGUGUUAUGAUGGUGAUGAUAUAGAACCACCCUGGGAACUUAACUAUGGUACACCUGAUACAAAUAUUCCUGUGAGUAAUACCCCAUGUGGGGGAUGUGGUGCUUUAUUACACUGUCGGGACACUGCAAUACCUGGCUAUCUACCAAGUGAGAUAUUUCUUCGUCUGAAUGAAAGUAACAUUAGUGGGACCCUGUGCCAACGAUGUCAUUUCAUUAGGUAUUACAACACUGUUCUUAGUGUCACAGUACCUCCUACUGAGUAUCCGAAACUUUUAUCCGAAAUCAGGAACAAACUUGCACUUGUUGUUUUGAUGGUAGAUCUCACUGAUUUUCCGUGUAGCAUUUGGCCACAAAUACUUGAUAUAAUUGGCAGAAAACGACCAGUGGUGGUUGUUGGGAAUAAGAUUGAUUUACUUCCACAGGACUGCAGUGGUUUUCUUGAUCAUGUCAAGAAAUGUAUCAUUAAAAGUCUUGAUCAGACUGGCUUGUCUGCUGCAAACAUAAAACAUGUAGAGCUGAUAAGUGCUCGCACUGGAUAUGGGAUUGAGGAACUUAUUACAAGGUUACAAAAUAUGUGGCACUACAAAGGUGAUGUAUAUCUGGUAGGUUGUACCAAUGUUGGAAAGUCUAGCCUGUUUAAUGCUCUUCUGCAAUCCGAUUUCUGCAAAGUAAAGGCAGUGGACCUUAUUGAGAGAGCUACUACAUCCCCUUGGCCUGGAACAACAAUGAAUUUGCUCAAGUUUCCUAUACUUCGCCCGUCUGGAUGGAGGCUAUAUAUGCGCACUAAGCGUCUUUUGGCUGAGAGAGAACGCAAACAAGCAGAAGAUAAACUCCGACAUUUUCAGUUGAAACGUAUGAAUGAUGUUCAGUACGCCACACUUGUAGGUCACAUUGGAAGGACAUUUCAAAAUGAAGAACAACCUGAAGUGAACGAUCCAUUUUCUGUUAGUAAAUCACUCACUAUCCAACAGUCAGGUAUAAAUCCAAAAGAUCCUGAAUUUAGUGAAAGCAGAUGGUGUUUUGAUACACCAGGAACAGUUCAACCUGACCAGAUCCUGAAUUUGCUUACUACAGAAGAACUUAUUUUGACAUUGCCAAAGAAGAUGUUGAUCCCUCGCUCAUUUUGCUUAAAACCCCAAAGAACUUUGUUUAUUGCUGGUCUAGGAAGACUAGACUAUGUUGAUGGAAACGAAUCUGUUAGGUUCACAGUAUUUGCAUCAGAUUGUCUGCCUGUCACUAUAUGCCAAACGGACAUUGCAGACACUGUAUAUUCGUCGCUGCUGGGCUCUUCACUGUUUGUUGUACCAUGUGGUGGAGACAAAAGAUUAUCACAGUGGCCACAACUUGCAACUACUCCAAAGAGCAUUUCUGUUGUGGGUAUCAGUUCAAAAGAAAGCUGCGCUGAUAUUGUGUUGUCAUCUGCUGGAUGGAUUGCUGUCACUCCUCCUAAGGAUCAUGUAUGCAAAUUGCAAGCAUGGACUCCAGAUGCAAGAGGAAUAUAUGUGCGUCAGCCUGCCUUACUGCGGUAUUCUGUUAACCUGCGUGGUGCCAGAAUACGUAAAACUCCAGCAUACAGAAUGGGGCGUGCUGUUUAUGUCAAAAAUUAAUUUUGACAUGAUGCAAACUGCUCAGUUGUCUUGUUCGAACCAACUAAAGAAAUGAUUCGGAUUGAUCAAAACAUGUUUGCCUUACAUCGUAUGGCUUAAGGCAGCACAGCAUACAGAGUGAAGCAGUUUCUGCAUGUAGGUGCUUUGUGCAGCACAAAGGAACUGUGACAUCAACAGUGCUUCAUAUUGUAUGAAGUAGUGUGUGUUUGUGUAUAUUACAUACAGUAAACUCUUGAACAUAUUUUUUAUAAUAAAAGCAUACAUUUCACAUGAAAAGAAAUGUUGAAAAUGUAUUAUUUUCAGAAGUUACAGUUAAAAACAAGCUGGGAAAUGCAAUCCUACAAAAAGAGACAUACUCUUAACGUAGUACACGAAUUUACUAGGACACACUGUUCAAAAUUAAUAUAUCACUUUGCAUCUGUCUAGUACACAAAGCUAAGAAUAUAUCUAUAUCCUACCACUGUCUCAGAUUUUGAGAAAAAUGUGUGUGACUGCAAACGGAAUGUCAGUACAAUGUAAAGACUUUACACAGCAGACAAUUUGGAAGCCUUGUGCAUUAUAUAGGCAGAUAAACAAGAAGUUCAACUUUUGAAUUUGCACUCCAAUUGUACAAAAGACUGAUAAAUGCAGAUCCUUAAA
rnacentral:misc_RNA from 1 species